rnacentral:rRNA from 1 species
AGAACGAAUGCUGGCGGCAGGCUUAACACAUGCAAGUCGAGCGCCCCGCAAGGGGAGCGGCGCACGGGUGAGUAACGCGUGGGAAUAUGCCCUUUGGUACGGAAUAGCCUCGGGAAACUGGGAUUAAUACCGUAUAUGACGAGAGUUGAAAGAUUUAUCGCCAGAGGAUUAGCCCGCGUUAGAUUAGCUUGUUGGUGAGGUAAUGGCUCACCAAGGCGACGAUCUAUAGCUGGUCUGAGAGGAUGAUCAGCCACACUGGAACUGAGACACGGUCCAGACUCCUACGGGAGGCAGCAGUGGGGAAUAUUGGACAAUGGGCGCAAGCCUGAUCCAGCCAUGCCGCGUGUGUGAUGAAGGCCUUCGGGUUGUAAAGCACUUUUGGCGGGACGAUAAUGACGGUACCCGCAGAAUAAGCCCCGGCUAACUUCGUGCCAGCAGCCGC